UCAUACUUAAUGAUGACUCCGAGUGCAUUUGGCUCGAGACUUAGACCCUUGGCGGGGACUUUGUCGGUGUGGAAAGACUCAAGCUACCUAACUUAUUUUUGUCUGAAUAUGUGAGA